rnacentral:rRNA from 1 species
GACGAACGCUGGCGGCGUGCUUAACACAUGCAAGUCGAACGGAAAGGCCUUUUCGGAGGUACUCGAGUGGCGAACGGGUGAGUAACACGUGGGAGAUCUGCCCUGCACUCUGGGAUAAGCCUGGGAAACUGGGUCUAAUACCGGAUAGGACCGCACUUUAGUGUGUGUGGUGGAAAGUUUUUUCGGUGUAGGAUGAGCCCGCGGCCUAUCAGCUUGUUGGUGGGGUAAUGGCCUACCAAGGCGGCGACGGGUAGCCGGACUGAGAGGUUGGUCGGCCACAUUGGGACUGAGAUACGGCCCAGACUCCUACGGGAGGCAGCAGUGGGGAAUAUUGCACAAUGGGCGCAAGCCUGAUGCAGCGACGCCGCGUGGGGGAUGACGGCCUUCGGGUUGUAAACUCCUUUCGCCAGGGACGAAGCGUUUUGUGACGGUACCUGGAGAAGAAGCACCGGCCAACUACGUG